rnacentral:tRNA from 3 species
ACGGGUUUAGCUCAGUCGGUAGAGCACUGGUCUCCAAAACCAGGUGUCGGGGGUUCGAGCCCUCCAACCCGUGCAA